CGCGAGUCUCGAGUGAGCAGUUUCCGUUUCAGCUCUCCGCCGCUGCCGCCCACCCCCGGUCCCUGCCCCCGCGCUCGCAGCCGUUGUCGCCCCGCUCUCCCCCAUAUUCCGUUUCAGCUCGCGCGCCGCUCCGGCCUCCCCCCCUCGCGCUCCGCUCUCGCCUCCCCCACGCCCUUCUCCUCCGAGCCGUCGCCCUCCCACCGUGCCCUCAUCCUCUCCACACGUUACUGCCUUCUCGAUCCACAACCACCGCCGUGGUCGCCGCCGCAGGCAGCACCCCCCCUCCCCCAUCCCCUCCCAGCCUUCACGGCAACCGAGGUCGACCAACUAGCCCCGCUCCUUCAUCGCCAGGCGGCGCGGAGAAUGGCGUUGAGCGCGGCGGAGGCGGCGGGGCGAGUGGCGGAUCCAAACCCUACUGCACGCCGACACAAAUCCUACCGGCGGCCAAACCCUACCCGCUCCCCGCACGCUCGCUCACCGUCCCCGCCGCCGUCGCGUCUCCACCGUCACCACGCCCGGCCAUCCCACCACCGUAACACCGACUCUGAGGUGUCGUCCCGCCGCCAUCGCGACACCAGCCAUUCCAUCUCCGUCGAGGUAUCCCCACUUGCAGGGCUGCAGUGUAGGGCGGCAAGUGGCCAGCAAAGCUCGUCCUCGAUGGCGGCGUGCAAGAUCCGGUUCGAGGGCGUCGAGGCUCGCGUCGUCGGCCGCCAAUUAGUCCUCGUGCAAAUUUAGUCCACAUGACGAGGGACGAGAUGUAAGAGCACGCACGCCUGAUCUCGGACGGCUCCACCUGCAGCGCUGCAGUGGAUGCUUCUGCAUCUAAGUCGGAAGAGGUGAAACGCCUGCCUGCUGGUAAGGUCAAGAAAAAAGGUUGGGUCCCUAACACAGUUCUUAGAAUUCACCUCACAAUUGGGUCAUGAUGAUUACUGGCCUGCUAAAUCUACUGUUAAACAUGUAAACGUUAGUUUGAAGUUUUAAUCAGAUGGGAUCCAUUCCCCUCAGGUGCGUUAAUAUACCACCAGAAUUAGGUCAUUGCUCUAUGGUGUGUUGCUGUGAUGAGUGAUGACCAAUGGAAAACCUAAUCAUGCUAAUUUUUGUGCCGUAGGCUUUAUCAUUCUCUCGUGAAAGCCAAUUUGUUGGCUCACCAGCAAAUUCAUGGUUUAAUGAUUGAUAGUUGAUUUAUGUAUUUUCUACUUGUUAGUGUGCAAUUUAUCCCUAGGUUUUUGGCUCACCAGCAAAUUCCUAAUCUAUUUGUCAGGUUUCAUUUUGUAGAUCAGUCGAUCAGAAAGCAGCAGGCCACUGAUUUACUACAUUUGGAGGCUUAACAUUUAUGAUUUACAUGAUACAAAAGAGAACAGAUCACAAGGUUAUCAAGUAGACUUGCACAGGUUAUCUACAUCGAAUCGGCACAAAGCAAUGGUGUCAGGGCUCCUUUUGGCGAUCAGACAAACAUCAAGGUGCCCACACUGAUGGAAAGAAACUGAAAAGACACAGAUGGUGCCCGGUAUAGCAGGACACCGUUGGUUGAUGAGGAACCAUAAUAAAUAUGAGACUUUGCUUAAGGUUCAUAGGCGAAUCAAACUUGGUGGAAUCAGGUUGACUAACAGCCCAGUAUUAUUGAAUCAAAUGUUGCCUAAAUUUAGUUUGACAAUGGACAUUUUGUAUUAGAGUGAUGGAUUUUUUCUGUCUGUGGCAACGCACGGGCACUGACCUAGAAAAACAACCACAAGACUAAGCGCCGGCAGCAGCACAGCAGAGAUGACGAAAAAGACAUAACAGCAUCACAGAAUCAGCAGGAUCAGGCCCUGUUGUCCUUCUGCUUCCUGUCCUCCAGGGUCUGCAUCAUCAAGCCCGGAUUCAUCCCUCCAGUCUUGAUCUUCUUUAUGAAUUGCCGAUCGCCACCACCUCCACAAAGUUGGACCAUUGUAGGAUAUUCUCUUGCAGCUCGAGUUUGAACAUUGGCAGACACUCCUUUACAAGCCUCCAGCUUUUCCUCAGCACCAUUGGAUUUAUUUUUUAUCCACAACUUCUAUUUUUGUUUUUGCCCUACAUCCAUUGUCACCUCUUAUUUUGCCCUUAAUUUGGUGGCCUGCGGGUAUUGGUCUGCCAGGCCCUGCCAAAAUGCAAAUGAUACUAGUCUCUAUCAUCUAAUAGCAGAAUA